GACGAACGUUGGCGGCGUGCUUAAUACAUGCAAGUCCACUGAAGCAGUGGUAGCAAUAUCGCUGUGGAGGUGGCGCACGGGUGAGUAACACGUAGGUAAUCUGCCUUCAGGUCUGGCAUAACUCCGGGAAACCGGGGCUAAUAGCAGAUGAUGCAGCGGCUCGACAUCGAGACAGUUGUUAAAGCUAUGGCGCCUGAAGAUGAGCCUGCGUCUGAUUAGCUAGUUGGCGGGGUAACGGCCCACCAAGGCAACGAUCAGUAGCUGGUCUGAGAGGAUGAUCAGCCACACUGGAACGGAGACACGGUCCAGACUCCUACGGGAGGCAGCAGUAAGGAAUAUUGCUCAAUGGGAGAAAUCCUGAAGCAGCAACGCCGCGUGAGGGACGAAGGGCUUUUGCUUGUAAACCUCUGUAGUGAGAGAAAAAAAUCCCAAUCUUUGGGACAUGAUGGUAUCUCAAAAGUAAGCCCCGGCUAACUACGUG
rnacentral:rRNA from 1 species